UCCGGUUUGGCACCGGCAGUCUCCGAUGAGUCCCCGACAUAACUCGCUGGCAACAUCGGACAGGGGUUGCGCUCGUUGCGCCACUUAAGGCAACACCUCACGGCACGAGCUGACGACAGCCAUGCACCACCUGUGAUCCUGCCCCGAAGGGAAGCCCUGUUUCCAGGGCGGUCAGAAACAUGUCAAACCCAGGUAAGGUUCUUCGCGUUGCGUCGAAUUAAACCACAUGCUCCACCGCUUGUGCGGGCCCCCGUCAAUUCCUUUGAGUUUCAGCCUUGCGGCCGUACUCCCCAGGCGGGGCACUUAAUGCGUUAGCGCCGGCACCCAGGGGGUCGAUCCCCCAGGCACCUAGUGCCCAUCGUUUACGGCGUGGACUAC
rnacentral:misc_RNA from 1 species